rnacentral:rRNA from 1 species
GAUGAACGCUGGCGGCGUGCUUAACACAUGCAAGUCGAACGGAAAGGCUCCUGCUUGCAGGGGUACUCGAGUGGCGAACGGGUGAGUAACACGUGGGUGAUCUGCCCUGCACUUCGGGAUAAGCCUGGGAAACUGGGUCUAAUACCGGAUAGGACGAUGGUUUGGAUGCCAUUGUGGAAAGUUUUUCGGGGUGGGAUGAGCUCGCGGCCUAUCAGCUUGUUGGUGGGGUAAUGGCCUACCAAGGCGUCGACGGGUAGCCGGCCUGAGGGGUGGGACGGCCACAUUGGGACUGCGGUACGGCCCAGACUCCUACGGGGGGCAGCAGUGGGGAAUAUUGCACAAUGGGCGCAAGCCUGAUGCAGCGGCGCCGCGUGGGGGAUGACGGCCUUCGGGUUGUAAACUCCUUUCGCUAGGGACGAAGCGCAAGUGACGGUACCUGGAGAAGAAGCACCGGCUAACUACGUG